ACUGAGCCCGGACCUUUGAAUCGCCAUUGAAGAUGUUUUGGCUCCUAGUCAAGUUAUUCCUCAUUGUUCAGCUGCAAAUGGUCAUGAAAAUACUGGGCUUCCAUACUUUUAGGAGACAACUCUGGUCAUCAGCUCUGAUAGUUGCCCUGUCCUUGCGAAGGGUGAUGCUGCAGAACAGUGCUGUGAAAAGGAGCACAAGGAGAAGCACAGUCCGGAGGGAAACUGUGCAGAGGCACACGAGGAGAUCAACGAGGAUUGCAAAAAAUCUAAAGAGAUUGAGACAGCGGAUUCUGCACUAUCAGCUGAGCUGUGGCUGCAG